GACGAACGCUGGCGGCGUGCUUAACACAUGCAAGUCGAACGGAAAGGCCCUCGCUUGCGGGGGUGCUCGAGUGGCGAACGGGUGAGUAACACGUGGGUGAUCUGCCCCUGACUUUGGGAUAAGCCUGGGAAACUGGGUCUAAUACCGGAUAUGACCUCUUGCUGCAUGGUGGGGGGUGGAAAGUUUUUGCGGUUGGGGAUGGGCCCGCGGCCUAUCAGCUUGUUGGUGGGGUAAUGGCCUACCAAGGCGACGACGGGUAGCCGACCUGAGAGGGUGAUCGGCCACACUGGGACUGAGACACGGCCCAGACUCCUACGGGAGGCAGCAGUGGGGAAUAUUGCACAAUGGGCGCAAGCCUGAUGCAGCGACGCCGCGUGAGGGAUGACGGCCUUCGGGUUGUAAACCUCUUUCACCAUCGACGAAGCCUUUCGGGGUGACGGUAGGUGGAGAAGAAGCACCGGCCAACUACGUGCCAGCAGCCGCAGUAA
rnacentral:rRNA from 1 species